ACGGAAGGCAGCAGUGGGGGAUAUUGCACAAUGGGGGAAACCCUGAUGCAGCGACGCCGCGUGAGUGAUGAAGUAUUUCGGUAUGUAGAGCUCUAUCAGCAGGAAAGAUAAUGACGGUACCUGACUAAGAAGCACCGGCUAAAUACGUGCCAGCAGCCGCGGUAAUACGUAUGGUGCAAGCGUUAUCCGGAUUUACUGGGUGUAAAGGGAGCGCAGACGGCAUGGCAAGCCAGAUGUGAAAGGCAGGGGCUCAACUCCUGGACUGCGUUUGGAACUGUCAAGCUAGAGUAUCGGAGAGGUAAGUGGAAUUCCUAGUGUAGCGGUGAAAUGCGUAGAUAUUAGGAGGAACACCAGUGGCGAAGGCGGCUUACUGGACGAUAACUGACGUUGAGGCUCGAAAGCGUGGGGAGCAAACAGGAUUAGAUACCCUGGUA
rnacentral:rRNA from 1 species